GAAUCAGGUAAAAAGGUGUAUUUUUUAAAGCAAACAGUUGGGAACGCUUGUGGAACCAUUGGGAUUCUUCAUGCUCUAGGAAAUGCAACAUCUGAAAUUAAUCUUGUGGAGGGCUCGUACUUUGAUAGGUUCUACAAGUCAACAGCUAACAUGGAUCCAUUUGAGCGUGCUGCUUUUCUUGAAAAAGACAGAGAAAUGGAGGAUGCUCAUUCUGUAACAGCUACUGCUGGGGAUACAGAGGCUUCUUCAGAUGUAAAUGAACAUUAUAUUUGCUUCACAUGUGUUGAUGGAGAGCUUUAUGAGCUUGAUGGGAGGAAGUUCCAACCGAUAUCUCAUGGUCCUUCAUCACCUAGUAGCCUGUUGCAGUAAAUUAAAAUUGAAGAAAGGCGUAACUCUUGCAUAUGCCUUUGCCAUGAGACUGGAGCCUGAUCUAAAAGCUGCCAUGGAGCCACCAAGACUUCAUGUACCCAAAGUACAGGACUGGGAUAACCAUGACGAAUGGAAAAUGUUUUUAGUUUGAUGAAUGGCAUGCUAAUGAUAUGAUGCAUAACUUGGUGGGACAAAAGUUUAAAGGAUGCUGCAAAGGUUAUAAAAACCAUGAUCCAGAAAAUUCCUGACUCAAUGAACUUCAAUGUCAUGGCACUCUCAAAGAAAGAAAAGUAAUGAACACCGAGACCGGUCAGCUAUUCAGUUCAUCUUUCCGUGUGACAGUCCUUGCUAGGCUGCAUACUAUCUUAAGUUUUUAUGUGCCCUGUUCAUCAACUCAAAACCUUUGUAAUAAGCCAAUUUUAAUAGAAAUCUUGACACAACGCUCGUGAUGUUUGCAUGCAAGUAGUCCGUGCUGCUGUUUUGAUUAAUAUGCCACGCCGCAUGUGGUAGUAUU